rnacentral:rRNA from 1 species
GACCUGAGAUCAGGCAAGGACACCCGCUGAACUUAAGCAUAUCAAUAAGCGGAGGAAAAGAAACUAAC